AUUGCCUGGGUGAUGAAAUGAUCUGUACUCCAAACCUCUGUGAGGCACAGUUUACCCGUAUAACAAACCUGCACAUAUACCCAUGAACCUAAAAUAAAAGUUAAAAAAAAUCCAAAACCUAAAUUACCUUGAUUCUUUAUGAGUUGUUACAUUUGAAAAUUCGAUUGAUGAGUUAAUGACAAUAAUUUAACUCUCUCAUGCUUAUCCCCCUCAUCUAACCAAAACAAACAAACAAACAAAAACAAACAAACAAAAAAACCCCUAAGAUGGAAUGUUGAGGUGAGGAACCUUUGAAUUUUUAAAUAUUAGAUCUACCAGAGCCUCAGAAAGACAUGUCUACAUUAAGAGGACGUUGACUAUUGAUAUAGACAUGUAAGUUCUUUACUGCCACGUUCUUAGUAAUUCCUGAAGUGUACGUGUAUGAAAUGACAUUAAUUCUCUCAUACUUUACGGUUGCUUAUUAGUGCCUAGAAGAAAUACAGUCUUUGUGGUCAGUCUCCUUGGAUCAACAAAAGCCUGUACUUUCCCGUUUUGCAUGUGCUAUUUAGUGAAAAUGUUGAGAAAGCACCAUCUAUCCUGCGCCACUGGCAUCCCACUGAUGCUCUGUCCUGGUUGCUAGGUGCAGAUUUAGGUUCCAAGCAGAACACUCCUAGUGUUCUCUGCGGUUUGUUGUAGCAUCAGAGUGUCUUGGCAACCAAAGGCAGAGCUGGUGCUAUGGAGGACCUGCUUACUGCUAUGAGGUAUUACUUUAUGCAGGUCCUGGAGAAGCUGAUUGAGGCCAAGUCACUGUUGCAAGGAGACACGAGACUCACAUCAGAGUUCUAUGGCUUAACAUGGGAGAUGGUGAUGCUCACACCCUAUGUAAAUGGAAACUCUUCAGAGGAUGAGGGAGAAUGCAACUCUCUGAGUGUCUUGGUAUCAGCAACAGUACAGGUCUUGACAGUAGUACAUACAUUAGCCAAGGACAGAGGAUAUUUGAGAAAGAGACGAACCGUGAUGAGUUUCUACAGCAAAGCUUUUGACACAAAUCUUUCUGGGUUUUGCCCUCAAAACUAGAAAUUACUAUAUAUUUUUGUAUAUAAGACUAAGUUAGACAAAGGAUACUUAAAUAAAAAUUAUCAAAGCUAUCAUUUAACAUCACAGAAUUAGGUCAUGUCUUUGUGUGUGCAUGUGUAUAAAAUUUGAAAAUAUUUUUCUG
rnacentral:lncRNA from 1 species